rnacentral:tRNA from 1 species
GCUUGGCUGGCUCAGUUGACGGAGCACGUGACUCUGGAUCUUGGGGUUGUGAGUUCGAGCCCCACGUUGGGUG